rnacentral:rRNA from 1 species
GGGGAAUAUUGGACAAUGGGCGCAAGCCUGAUCCAGCCAUGCCGCGUGGGUGAAGAAGGCCUUCGGGUUGUAAAGCCCUUUUGUUGGGAAAGAAAAGCAGCCGGCCAAUACCCGGUUGUUCUGACGGUACCCAAAGAAUAAGCACCGGCUAACUUCGUGCCAGCAGCCGCGGUAAUACGAAGGGUGCAAGCGUUACUCGGAAUUACUGGGCGUAAAGCGUGCGUAGGUGGUGGUUUAAGUCCGUUGUGAAAGCCCUGGGCUCAACCUGGGAACUGCAGUGGAUACUGGAUCACUAGAGUGUGGCAGAGGGUAGUGGAAUUCCCGGUGUAGCAGUGAAAUGCGUAGAUAGUAGGAGGAACACCGGUGGCGAAGGCGGCUUGCUGGACAAAGACUGACGCUGAGGUGCGAAAGCGUGGGGAGCAAAAA